rnacentral:rRNA from 1 species
GAUGAACGCUGGCGGCGUGCCUAAUACAUGCAAGUCGAGCGAACAGACGAGGAGCUUGCUCCUCUGACGUUAGCGGCGGACGGGUGAGUAACACGUGGAUAACCUACCUAUAAGACUGGGAUAACUUCGGGAAACCGGAGCUAAUACCGGAUAAUAUAUUGAACCGCAUGGUUCAAUAGUGAAAGACGGUUUUGCUGUCACUUAUAGAUGGAUCCGCGCCGCAUUAGCUAGUUGGUAAGGUAACGGCUUACCAAGGCAACGAUGCGUAGCCGACCUGAGAGGGUGAUCGGCCACACUGGAACUGAGACACGGUACAGACUCCUACGGGCGGCAGCAGUAGGGAAUCUUCCGCCAUGGGCGAAAGCCUGACGGAGCAACGCCGAGUGAGUGAUGAAGGUCUUCGGAUCGUAAAACUCUGUUAUUAGGGAAGAACAAAUGUGUAAGUAACUAUGCACGUCUUGACGGUACCUAAUCAGAAAGCCACGGCUAACUACGUG